CCCCCCUACUCCUGACAACACUCAUGAUUCACACAUGGGUUUCCUCACAGAAGUGAGAAGCAUGUUGGAAAUUGUCAUGUAUGAAGCGGGCCUGAAGAAAGAAGUACAACUGCUUCUUCAUGAGGGCUGUGAAGAGCGAUGCCUCACGAACUCUGAGGCAGUCGUUUGCGGCCUGCUCAGCUGCGGCUUGGGCCUACUUGGCCUCUGAGUUAUAGGGCUUCUCAUCUGCCGAGCGGGCACAAAUCAUCGAGGCCUGUCAGGAGUCAAAAUGGAGUGGGCCUGUUGCAAAAGUCCACCCUAGUUCUUUAACAAGAUUGAUGCCCAGCAGCCUCCCCAGGACAACUUCAGGUUCUCAGUAAAGUAUCACAGUAAACUUGUGGUAAAGCCUGCUGUGUGAAGAAUGCCCAGGAAAUCCUGAUCUACCAUCUGCCUAUCCCUAAUGGCACUUCUGGCGGAAGAAGAAAUCAGCAAAAAUUGCAUGAUAAUCACUGCGGAGCUCUGGAAACUCUCUCCAGCAAGGAUGCUUCUUCUCAGUGCGCAUCACCUUUAUCCUCCUGUAUUUUUUAACAUGUAACUUUU